UGAAACUCAAAGGAAUUGACGGGGGCCCGCACAAGCGGAGGGAACAUGUGGUUUAAUUCGAUGAUACGCGAGGAACCUUACCUGGGCUUAAAUGCAGAGUGCAUGCUGUGGAAACACACUUCCCUUCGGGGCUCUUUGCAAGGUGCUGCAUGGUUGUCGUCAGCUCGUGCCGUGAGGUGUCGGGUUAAGUCCCAUAACGAGCGCAACCCUUACCGUUAGUUGCCAUCAGGUAAAGCUGGGGACUCUAGCGGGACUGCCACCGUAAGGUGAGAGGAAGGUGGGGAUGACGUCAAAUCAGCACGGCCCUUAUGUCCAGGGCUACACACGUGUUACAAUGGCCGGUACAGAUGGCAGCUACCCCGCGAGGGGAUGCGAAUCUAUAAAGCCGGUCUCAGUUCGGAUUGGAGUCUGCAACCCGACUCCAUGAAGUUGGAUUCGCUAGUAAUCGCGCAUCAGCCAUGGCGCGGUGAAUACGUUCCCGGGCCUUGUACACACCGCCCGUCAAACCAUGGGAGCUGGGGGUACCUGAAGUCCGUGACCGCAAGGRGCGGCCUAGGGUAAAACCAGUGACUGGGGUUAAGUCGUAACAAGGUAACCAAGGGCGAA
rnacentral:rRNA from 1 species